AGGGUUUGAUCAUGGCUCAGAGCGAACGUUAGCGGCGGGCUUAACACAUGCAAGUCGAACGAGAAUGAGGGCUUCGGCCCUCUAGUAAAGUGGCGGACGGGUGCGUAACACGUGGGUAACGUACCUUCCAGCGGGGGACAACCGUCCGAAAGGAUGGCUAAUACCGCGUACGUCAGCGAGGGCUCCGGUCCUUGUUGGGAAAGAUGGCCUCUCCUUGGAAGCUAUCACUGGAAGAUCAACCCGCGGCCCAUCAGCUAGUUGGUGAGGUAACGGCUCACCAAGGCUAAGACGGGUAGCUGGUCUGAGAGGAUGAUCAGCCACACUGGGACUGCGACACGGCCCAGACUCCUACGGGAGGCAGCAGUGGGGAAUAUUGGGCAAUGGGCGAAAGCCUGACCCAGCCACGCCGCGUGAGUGAUGAAGGCCUUCGGGUCGUAAAGCUCUGUGGGGAGGGACGAACAAACUGGGAGCUAAUCAACCCGGUCCUGACGGUACCUCCUUAGCAAGCACCGGCUAACCCUGUGCCAGCAGCCGCGGUAAUACAGGGGGUGCAAACGUUGCUCGGAAUUAUUGGGCGUAAAGCGCGCGUAGGCGGCCACUUAAGUCGGAUGUGAAAGCCCCUGGCUCAACUGGGGAAGUGCACCCGAAACUGAAUGGCUUGAAUACAAAAGAGGGUCGCGGAAUUCCCGGUGUAGAGGUGAAAUUCGUAGAUAUCGGGAGGAACACCGGUGGCGAAGGCGGCGACCUGGGUUGAUAUUGACGCUGAGGCGCGAAAGCGUGGGGAGCAAACAGGAUUAGAUACCCUGGUAGUCCACGCCGUAAAC
rnacentral:rRNA from 1 species